GAUGAACGCUGGCGGCGUGCCUAAUACAUGCAAGUCGAGCGAACGGACGAGAAGCUUGCUUUUCUGAUGUUAGCGGCGGACGGGUGAGUAACAUGUGGAUAACCCACCUAUAAGACUGGGAUAACUUCGGGAAACCGGAACUAAUAACGGAUAAUAGUUGGAACCGCAUGGUUCAAGAGUGAAAGACGGUCUUGCUGUCACUUAUAGAUGGAUCCGCGCUGCAUUAGCUAGUUGGUAAGGUAACGGCUUACCAAGGCAACGAUGCAUAGCCGACCUGAGAGGGUGACCGGCCACACUGGAACUGAGACACGGUCCAGACUCCUACGGGAGGCAGCAGUAGGGAAUCUUGCGCAAUGGGCGCAAGCCUGACGCAGCAACGCCGCGUGUGUGAUGAAGGUCUUCGGAUCGUAAAACUCUGUUAUUAGGGAGGAACAUAUGUGUAAGUAACUGUGCGCAUCUUGACGUUACCUAAUGAGAAAGCCACGGCUAACUACGUG
rnacentral:rRNA from 1 species